AAAGUUUUUCGGCUGGGGAUGGGCUCGCGGCCUAUCAGCUUGUUGGUGGGGUAAUGGCCUACCAAGGCGACGACGGGUAGCCGGCCUGAGAGGGCGACCGGCCACACUGGGACUGAGACACGGCCCAGACUCCUACGGGAGGCAGCAGUGGGGAAUAUUGCACAAUGGGCGAAAGCCUGAUGCAGCGACGCCGCGUGAGGGAUGACGGCCUUCGGGUUGUAAACCUCUUUCAGCUCCGAAGAAGCGAAAGUGACGGUACGAGCAGAAGAAGCACCGGCUAACUACGUGCCAGCAGCCGCGGUAAUACGUAGGGUGCAAGCGUUGUCCGGAAUUAUUGGGCGUAAAGAGCUCGUAGGCGGUGUGUCGCGUCUGCUGUGAAAACUCAGGGCUCAACUCUGAGCUUGCAGUGGGUACGGGCACACUUGAGUGCUGUAGGGGAGACUGGAAUUCCUGGUGUAGCGGUGAAAUGCGCAGAUAUCAGGAGGAACACCGGUGGCGAAGGCGGGUCUCUGGGCAGUUACUGACGCUGAGGAGCGAAAGCAUGGGGAGCGAACAGGAUUAGAUACCCUGGUAGUCCAUGCCGUAAACGUUGGGCGCUAGGUGUGGGGUCCAUUCCACGGAUUCCGUGCCGCAGCUAACGCAUUAAGCGCCCCGCCUGGGGAGUACGGCCGCAAGGCUAAAACUCAAAGGAAUUGACGGGGGCCCGCACAAGCGGCGGAGCAUGCGGAUUAAUUCGAUGCAACGCGAAGAACCUUACCAAGGCUUGACAUGCGCGGUGGAAUCCCAGAGAUGGGGUGUCAUUUAGUUGGUCGCGUACAGGUGGUGCAUGGUUGUCGUCAGCUCGUGUCGUGAGAUGUUGGGUUAAGUCCCGCAACGAGCGCAACCCUCGUUCCAUGUUGCCAGCACGUUAUGGUGGGGACUCAUGGGAGACUGCCGGGGUCAACUCGGAGGAAGGUGGGGAUGACGUCAAAUCAUCAUGCCCCUUAUGUCUUGGGCUUCACGCAUGCUACAAUGGCCAGUACAGAGGGCUGCGAUACCGUGAGGUGGAGCGAAUCCCAAAAAGCUGGUCUCAGUUCGGAUCGGGGUCUGCAACUCGACCCCGUGAAGUCGGAGUCGCUAGUAAUCGCAGAUCAGCAACGCUGCGGUGAAUACGUUCCCGGGCCUUGUACACA
rnacentral:rRNA from 1 species